CUACAGGACAUCAGUCAGCCAUCUACAAUCUAGAGGACAUCAGUCAGCCAUCUACAAUCUACAGGACAAUAACCAGCCAUCCACAAUCUCUCUGUGUGUGUAGCUAUGAGGGGAAUUGUCCUUCUCUUUCUGCUGUCUCUCUGGCCUGGAGGCAACGUGGAUGCUAUCAAUCAAGAGGUCUUGGCUAAUGUGGUACAAGAGAUGAGAAGGUUCGGCCUGGAGAACCGCCAGUAUGCCAUGGCUGUCUUACUCACCCAAAAGCAGUGUACCCAAAAUGGAGCAAUCUUUGAUGUAGGCGUGCAACCUCAGG
rnacentral:lncRNA from 13 species